CCAGGUGUAGCGGUGAAAUGCGUAGAGAUCUGGAGGAAUACCGAUGGCGAAGGCAGCCAUCUGGCCUAAUACUGACACUGAGGUGCGAAAGCAUGGGGAGCAAACAGGAUUAGAUACCCUGGUAGUCCAUGCCGUAAACGAUGUCUACUAGCCGUUGGGGCCUCUGAGGCUUUAGUGGCGCAGCUAACGCGAUAAGUAGACCGCCUGGGGAGUACGGUCGCAAGACUAAAACUCAAAUGAAUUGACGGGGGCCCGCACAAGCGGUGGAGCAUGUGGUUUAAUUCGAUGCAACGCGAAGAACCUUACCUGGUCUUGACAUAGUAAGAACUUUCCAGAGAUGGAUUGGUGCCUUCGGGAACUUACAUACAGGUGCUGCAUGGCUGUCGUCAGCUCGCGUCGUGAGAUGUUGGGUUAAGUCCCGCAACGAGCGCAACCCUUUUCCUUAUUUGCCAGCGGGUUAAGCCGGGAACUUUAAGGAUACUGCCAGUGACAAACUGGAGGAAGGCGGGGACGACGUCAAGUCAUCAUGGCCCUUACGACCAGGGCUACACACGUGCUACAAUGGUCGGUACAAAGGGUUGCUACCUCGCGAGAGGAUGCUAAUCUCAAAAAGCCGAUCGUAGUCCGGAUUGGAGUCUGCAACUCGACUCCAUGAAGUCGGAAUCGCUAGUAAUCGCGGAUCAGAAUGCCGCGGUGAAUACGUUCCCGGGCCUUGUACACACCGCCCGU
rnacentral:rRNA from 1 species